CCCCAACAAAGAUGGCAGACCUUGACCAAGGAUUUUCACCAGGAAACGCGACAGUAGCGACUGCACGUUCGGGGUUAACUCGGGACCAGUUGUUCUUUAUUCUGGCCUAGGCCUAAUGACAGCGUCACUGACUAGUCCAGUUUCAUUGUCCAUCCCAACUUGCCUCUAGGGCAGCUGAGUGUCAACCACAUUGCGGUGGGUCAGGAGUCACGUACAAGCCAGAACAGAAAGUGGUGGCUGUGAGGGGCCUGGACAGAUAUCAGACAGCUGUGAGGUCCCUUUAAAUUCCCAUUUUUUUGGUUAAUGGGUGUGGCCUAAUGGACUGGUCUUUGAUGCCUGAUCGCUGCUGCAAAAUAAAAGUGUCCUGAGGCUGAAGUCAUGUAUCGUCCUGGCCUUCCUUUUUGCUUCAGUAGUGGAUACCACCUCUGCUGGGUUGGUCUCAAACUAGACUGAAAACAAGAACGUUGGAAAUCACAGUGGGUCAGGCAGCAUCCACGGAAAGACAGCAAGCUUAAUGUUUUGAGUCGAGAUGAUUCUUCAUCCAAGCUGACAUUAGGUGUGGAGGGGACAGCAUUUAUGCCUAGAAAGGUGAAACUUCAGUUGAAACCUUCAAUUGCUGAGAAAGAAAGCACAGCUGUGAAAACGAGUUUUGGCAAACGCCAUGUCGAACACCAGCAAUGAAAUAGAAAGCAUCUAAGAUGUACACGAUGAAAGAGACAAUCAGAAUUUCUAUAAGAAGUAAGAACACAACUUUUUCAGGUUGGGUUCUCAAACCAGCUUCGGUCUCAAACUAGUCUUUGCUUUGGCUUCUGCCUUUACCAAAUGUUGUUGUUCCUACAGAUAAUUGAACUCAGCAACUUCGAAACAUAAUCACUAUCAAUAAUCUUUCAUGAAGUUUGUAUUGGUGUUAUUGUAAAUAUUUUGCCAUUGUGCUUCAUGUCCUUUGACAGUUUAGUUUCAUAAUGGAGAACUGUGUACUCAUUGUGACGAACUGUCGAUGUCAGUAAGAAUUGUCAACCCAAAUCAAUCAACACUUUCUAAUAGGUGAUGCUCAUCAGUGGAAAUUUUUAGACACUGAAUUGUAGAUUUUUCACCAAAGAUUCAUUAGUUUUAUUGUAAACAAAUUCCUGUUGAGAGUUCUUGAUUUAGGUGAAAGAUCACAGAUAGAGGUAUCAAUGAAGAAUGCUGUUGGUCCAAAA